UUCCAGACUCCUACGGGAGGCAGCAGUGGGGAAUAUUGCACAAUGGGGGAAACCCUGAUGCAGCGACGCCGCGUGAGUGAAGAAGUAUUUCGGUAUGUAAAGCUCUCUCAGCGGGGAAGAAAAUGACGGUACCUGACUAAGAAGCCCCGGCUAACUACGUGCCAGCAGCCGCGGUAAUACGUAGGGGGCAAGCGUUAUCCGGAUUUACUGGGUGUAAAGGGAGCGUAGACGGCAGCGCAAGUCUGAAGUGAAAGCCCGCGGCCCAACUGCGGGACUGCUUUGGAAACUGCCCGGCUAGAGUGCUGGAGAGGUAAGCGGAAUUCCUAGUGUAGCGGUGAAAUGCGUAGAUAUUAGGAGGAACACCAGUGGCGAAGGCGGCUUACUGGACAGUAACUGACGUUGAGGCUCGAAAGCGUGGGGAGCAAACAGGAUUAGAUACCCUUGUAG
rnacentral:rRNA from 1 species